rnacentral:tRNA from 3 species
AAUAUAAUGCCUGACUUAAAAGGAUAGCUUUGAUAGAGCUAAUCAUGUAAAUUAAUUUACUUAUAUUA